AACUAUUUGACCUGACAUAAAAUAAAGUUUGUUAUAAAUUUUAAAUAUUUUACAGAUAUAAAAACGGAGAUUUAGGGAACGCGGCAUCAUUCCACCAGCAGGUGACAGACACAAAGAAGGUCCUUAGGCAGAAAUUCCUCUUAUUUUGGGGUCAGCCUUUUUUUUCUACUCGAGGCUUCAGCUGACUGAGUGAGGUUCACCCGUAUUAGGAAGGACCAUCUCCUGAUGCAAAUGUUAAAUCUCCUCCCAAAACACGUGCACAGAAAUACACGGUAUCAUAUUCAGCCAAAUAAUCUGGGCUUCGUCAAGAUCACUCAUAAAACGAACCACCACAAACAUACUCAAUACGUAACAUGCGAUGGCCCCUUUCUGCUGCCCACUGGUUGAAAAGACUAACAGUGCACAUUCCUGCUUCCAAGGAGUUUGUCGUGGAACCUAGAAGGCCAUCACGUGCACGACUACAUACAACACAGAUGGGGAAACUGGCUCGGAGACACCCCAAGGUCACAGAAGGACUAAGUAGCAGGGCUGGAGUUCGAGCCCAGCGGCCUGACUCUCGAGCCUGAGUCUUUAAGGAAACACUUAGGACCAAGCCAGCCUGCUUCAAAGAACAGAGGAAGGACAGCUGGAGAAGAGAUCACAGGCACAGCAAGGUUGAACACACAAGCUAACGUUAAACAGCUAUUAAGUGACAGAGAUGGAUUUGAGGCAAAGGUUUGCUCGUGCACCCUUAAGGAGGAGAGUGAGACACUCAGAUGUUUCUGGCACCUCCCAUUGACAGAAGCCAAUUGACAAAGGGAUCUAGGCCAUGCGGUCUGCAGAGAUAAAGCCCCGAGGGCACAGAGCAGCCCCCCCAAAAAGGGAAGAGAAAGUAUAAAGCGACGGUGGAUUGAAAAGUGGAGGAGCAACCUGCCAUUCUUAGAGGAGAGGUAAUUUGGAAAGCCACAGUGAGGUUCUGGAGGAAGAGUCUUCGAGACGAUGAGAUUUUCCAAGGAGAGGCCACCCGGAGGAGGAACCUUCAUCCCCGUCACUGUGCCCGUUCUUAAUGGUAGAACGCCGCCCAGCUGCCAUUUGCCUGCUGUCGGAGCGCUCCUCUUCUCCCUCGUCCAGCUAAUGCUGAGGCCGAGACAGUGAGCCACAGGGGCUUCAUCCAUCCACCAAGUUUUUGCAGGUCAGAAGUCUAGGAGCCGCCUGGCUGGGUGUUUCUGGCUCAGGAUUUCUUGUGAAAUUAUCAUCAAGACUUUGGCUGAGAUGCAGUCAUUUGAAGGCUUGCCUGGGGCUAGAGGAUCCCCUUUGAAGAUGGUGUACCCACAUGCUUGACAGUUUCAGUUCCAGGUUUCCAAGAAAUGGAUGCGAGAUGGAAUUGAACUUGUUAAAGAUGUGUGGUGGGCACGGUUGCCAAGUGGUAAGUCUUUGUUAAAGAUGUGUGAUGAUGAGAAAGAUGCUUGUGAAAGAAAAGGUUGGAGGGAGGAGGAGCAUGUGGGAUGAACUGCAGAUCAGGAUUCGUGAGUGAUGCCCAUGGGAGGAGAGGUGGAAGGGAGCACGCUCGGAAGGGUCUCGGUGUACCCCACUGCUCUGAUAAAGUCUUUGCUGGGGUAGCUAGGAGCACCUAAGCAAAGGUUGCCGUUAAAAGAGGAAGAAACAGCCUAGCCCUAGUAACCGCGCCAUGCUCCCUCAUUUUCCCAAAGAGCUGGUCAUUAGAGCUGCCAACCAGCUGUGCUCCCUGCAGCAAGAAUUCUUGAAGGAGAGCUGCAUGGAAACCCUGUGGCCGGCCACAGUCCAUGCCUUGUGCCACACAAUUAAAUCUCCAUGCGUUGUGUGGGCCUCUUUUCCUAAAAGAAAAAUCAGUAGAAGGAGCUUGGUGGGACCAACUGCAGCCUCCGUUGCCAUAGUUGAUUUGAGGUUUACAAGUAAUAUCGACUCUUCCCUCCUUCAUUAUCUGUUGCCAAUUCCCCGCAUCCUCUGAUAUCAUCUCCAGGGGCCUCGGUGGGUGAUCCACAGCUUCCCUUCUGAAGUGUCUUGAGCCUAAGGUGUACUCCUUUUUAGACCGUUGUUGCUGGACGUGUCCACUCACAGCUACAACAGGCAAGAGAAUGCAGGAGGCACUGGUGUGGGUCAGGUCUCCUAUACGCUUUUCUCCUGCUCGCACUGAAUAACACCAGCCCCAUAUCCUUUGGCUAAUCAGUAUUCCCCGUCUUACCUGUUAGUCUCUUGACACAAGAAAUUCAAAGAUCUGUAGUGCCAGCACUACCUUGCUAUUUGAAAGGACUCGAGGGA